AGACUCGUGGAGCUGCGCCAAGCUUCCCACUCACAGAUCAGAUGACUGAGCCCAGCAAAGGUGUGGCUUGAGACCAACUUCCAUGAUGGGGAUGAGGACCCUAAGGACACCCAUCCUCCCCUGCUUUCCAGAGCCUCAGCAUGGAGGACACCGUGGGAAGUUCACUCAACGUGGACAAGUUCAGGAGAAGUGAAGAAUGUGGAAAACAGAAUUCCUGUGGGUGGCCUCAACCCCAAGCUCUGCUGAUGCAAACUGGCACCUUGAAGAUGUCUUUGGAAUUUAAUUGGAGAUAUGAAUGACAUCGGGAGACACAGAAGAGGGAGAGGCAUUGCACAGGGGAGGAAAGGCCUCCGUGGGGACCUAUGGGGCUCCCAGGCCCACUGCGGGGAGGCCUGGUCCCUGGUCAUCUGUCGAGGGAGAACACUUUCAGUCCAAGGAGAAUCCUGGGACCCUUGACACAGAAGGGAGGUUCGGAGCCUCUCUGUGGAAAACACAGACCUUUCGUGACACGCAAACUCGAAGCUGGUGAGGCCGAGUCUUGGGGCUGUGCCAACCGGGCAGCCUGACUGUCCAGUGUUCCAAAUCUGGAUGUGAAAUGGACCAUGCAAACAGGACCCAAGGGGCAUGGGGGAGCUGGCAGAGGUGCCCGGGAAAAGUGGGGAAGCACCUGUCAGCCAGGAAGGUAGAGGGGCACCUGCCCCAGAACAUGGUGCCAGCAUCCCACUCUUAUUAAUAGAUGCAAUAACCACCUUCGGAGACUGGACCCCUCAACGAGCACUUAGCCCACAAUGUGAUGCAGAGAAACCAGAGACCCAGGCAGCGAGUGCACCCACGGGGACGCUCCGAGGGCAGCCUCCUGCCCCCCCUGAUGACUUAAAAAGGAGAUUCUUGGAAACCUUUGCCGGC